GAGCGAAGUCGUCUAAUUCUAGUGGCGUUCAUAUUUGCUAUUGAAGGUUGGCAACAGCAAAAAGCAAUUUUCCGUGCCUAUCAAAUCAACCUGUAUUUGUUUCUUGUAUUUUUGAUUUAUAUU